GACGUAGGAUCCGAGCGUUGUCCGGAGUUACUGGGCGUAAAGCGCGCGCAGGCGGACACGCGCAUCGGCGGUGAAAGCCCCCCGCUCAACGGGGGAGGGUCCGUCGAGAUGGCGUGUCUGGAGGCAGGGAGAGGCCAGUGGAAUUCUGGGUGUAGUGGUGAAAUGCGUAGAGAUCCGGAGGAACACCAGUGGCGAAGGCGGCUGGCUGGACCUGACCUGACGCUGAGGCGCGAAGGCGUGGGGAGCGAACAGG
rnacentral:rRNA from 1 species